AAUCUGUGUUGUGGGUAUGGGCUGACAAGAUCCUUAAACCGCUCCCAACAUUAGAAGAAUGUUUCAUCCUCAUUUUGGGUGAAGUUCAUGAUUGACUUUCUAAGAGU